rnacentral:pre_miRNA from 1 species
GGUAACUAGUCGAUCCUCUUUCCCGUUCACUCUUCUCGUCAGUCGAUGAUUGAAUAUCGAAUGACAGAUCAGUGCGCGAGAAGGAAGACUAGCUUCC